rnacentral:rRNA from 1 species
GAUGAACGCUCGCUACAGGCUUAACACAUGCAAGUCGCGGGGCAGCAUGGGGGUUGCUUGCAACCCCUGAUGGCGACCGGCGCACGGGUGAGUAACGCGUAUCCAACCUGCCCUUCACCACGGGAUAACCCGGCGAAAGUCGGACUAAUACCGUAUGUUGUCCAUUGACGGCAUCCGAUUUGGACGAAAGGCUUGGCGGUGGAAGGAUGGGGAUGCGUCCGAUUAGCUUGACGGCGGGUUAACGGCCCACCGUGGCUACGAUCGGUAGGGGUUCUGAGAGGAAGGUCCCCCACACUGGAACUGAGACACGGUCCAGACUCCUACGGGAGGCAGCAGUGAGGAAUAUUGGUCAAUGGGCGUAAGCCUGAACCAGCCAAGUAGCGUGCAGGAUGACGGCCCUAUGGGUUGUAAACUGCUUUUAUGCGGGGAUAAAGUGGCCCACGUGUGGGCUUUUGCAGGUACCGCAUGAAUAAGGACCGGCUAAUUCCGUG